ACAAAGUAUGGGCUUGUGAAGAGCAAGUAUAUGCUACGGCUAUACAAGCAUAGGGAAAAAUGGGCCAAACCAUAUUUUAUGAGUGUGUUUUGUGCUGGGAUGACGAGCACGCAAAGGAGUGAAAGUGCAAAUCAUAUGCUUAAGAGGUAUAUUCAGAAGGUCGCGCCUAUGCACUUGUUUGUAAGUAAGUUCAAUGAGUUCCUUUGUGACCGGACAGAGCAAGAGGCUCGGGAGCUACAUGUCACAAAAAGGGUUACAAGGAAAAUGAGAGUCGGGGCUCCGAUCGAAGAGCAUGCUGAUUCAGUGUGUACUUGGGCUAUGUACAAGAAAUUCUAUGAUGAGUUAUUUGAGGCUGGGAAGUUUCGUGUUUAGCGGGAAGACGGCACUAACAGUUUUGUUGUUUCCCCUGUGAAAUUGAGCUCAAAUGAGGAACAAAAAAGUUAUGUGGUCACUCUGCAUGGAGAGGAUUUCAUGUCCUGUCAGUGCGGUCUGUACGAGCAUCUAGGUAUGCUGUGUCGGCGUGCACUAAAGGUUCUGCUACAUUUGGACAGGCAAGAAAUUCCAAAGUUCAAUAUAAUGAGAAGAUGGACGAAGGAGGCAGUGGUUUACAGAGCAGAUACAGAAGAAAGUGAUGUAGGUUCAGAUGCAGACCAAAUGAGGAACUUUGCUGCUGCAGACCCUUCAAGUAGUGCAUGGCCCUUCUCACGUGGAUGAGCAGAUGUUCAAGAAUGCCAUGGAAGCGUUAAGGCCAGUUGU